AAAAGCUCGUAGUUGAACUUCUAAGGAUUGAAGUCGCCUCAUGGCUUGUAUUGAUAUCCUUAUCCGCUUUGAUUUAGCAAUACGCACUUUGUUGGGCGAUUGUGUAAUCAAGCAAUUUACUUUGAAAAAAUUAGAGUGUUUCAAGCAGGCGAUUUGCUGGAAUACAUUAGCAUGGAAUAAUAGAACACGACCUCUUAGGCAUUUUAUUGGUAUAUGACUGGAGGUAAUGAUUAACAGGGACAGUUGGGGGCAUUAGUAUUGCAUUGUCAGAGGUGAAAUUCAUUGAUUAGUGCAAGACUAACUUAUGCGAAAGCAUUUGCCAAGGAUGUUUUCAUUAAUCAA
rnacentral:rRNA from 1 species